UACGUAGGGGGCAAGCGUUGUCCGGAAUCAUUGGGCGUAAAGCGCGUGUAGGCGGCCCGGUAAGUCCGCUGUGAAAGUCGGGGGCUCAACCCUCGAAAGCCGGUGGAUACUGUCGGGCUCGAGUGCGGAAGAGGCGAGUGGAAUUCCUGGUGUAGCGGUGAAAUGCGCAGAUAUCAGGAGGAACACCGAUUGCGAAGGCAGGUUACUACUAAUAUAUUGACGCUGAUGGACGAAAGCGUGGGGAGCGAACAGG
rnacentral:rRNA from 1 species